UACGUAGGCAGCAAGCGUUGUUCGGAAUUACUGGGCGUAAAGCGCGCGCAGGCGGUUCUUCAAGUCAGGGGUGAAAGCCCAGAGCUCAACUCUGGAAUGGCCUUUGAGACUAGAGGACUUGGGUACGGGAGAGGUGAGUGGAAUUCCGAGUGUAGAGGUGAAAUUCGUAGAUAUUCGGAAGAACACCAGUGGCGAAGGCGGCUCACUGGCCCGUUACCGACGCUCAGGCGCGACAGCGUGGGGAGCAAACAGG
rnacentral:rRNA from 1 species